CAUCUCUUUUCGUACUUAAGUCUAAUGUAAACCUUAAGAUUGUGUGAGUGAUGUCUAACCGACUUAAAUAUAAUUCAGAGAUUCAAGAAUAAUUGGAAUUGGAACUUAAGAGGACUUGCUGUAUUUCUUAUCUGUACACAUGAGCUGCACAGCAUGGGCAGCAAGCAGAAAGUUUUUAGCUGCUUUACAGGUCCACCUUUUAAGGCUAAUGUGAUUUUUAUACUUAACAGGAUGAAUUAUGUGGUCACUGGGAGGAAGACAAAGACCACUGGAAAACACCCACACAUAGACAGUGGACAAAGGAAGAAAGGUCACUGUUUUCUUCUCCUUUCUGACAUUCAGCCACUGGUUUAUCAGUUUGCUGCCAUGGCACAAGAAAGCGAGGGGAGUCAUCUUUCAGCCCUCCUCUGGAACUGGCUUCUCCCUCCUACAGACAGCCUUUCCCUUGCUGUAAAAUCUUUGUUUAAUGGCUGCAUUCAUUAUGCCGCUACAAAGACAGCUCCAUCUAAACGUCUACUCUGGCAUAAGAAAAUGUUGAACUUCUGUCUAACUUGGGACAAGCUGGUGUAUCUGCCUGAUUGUUUUUAGUUGCUCCUUCUCAUAGAAUGCCCGUUACAUGUGACAGUGGGGAAGCUGAAAGUAGCCUCUGUACCCUCUGUAAUACACUGUGCCCUAUUUAACCACCACUCCUGCCUGUUCUGUCUGCACAACGGAAAUAAGCCCUUGGCUGGCUGUGGAGAACUCUUACUGUGCUCAGUAAUUCCUGUCAGCAGUAAGAAGGUCCGCCCUUUUGCAUCUAAACACGCAUCUAAAACAGCAGAAUCAAAGUUGCAGUGUCGUAGCCAUAAAUGUGAUUGACUCCUCAUCUCCAGCAAUCCCUACAUUUGCCCCUUUGCAUUACAUACCAAUGAGCUAUCUGUAACAAAUACUCAUAUAUGUCUAUCUCAUCAGCCAAUGUGAAUUUGAUUCAGAAAAGCUAUUCUGAAGUCUGUUUAUUUUUCAGUAUUUCUCCCACUGAACUGUGCUGUAGUGAUAUUUUCUCAAACACUGCAGCUUCUCAUUUUUCAAGCUUAAAUUCCAAAGUCAUUUGAUGCUGGGUAGGAGAAAAAGGAGACAUUUAAACACUGCUCUGCAUGCGCUAGCUGCUGUUUCUAUCUAUAUUUCAAGGGUCUGAAGAUUUCUAGAGAUACUUGUUUCUCCUCAGGAUGAUAGUUUGCCCAGACUCCCACACAAGCAUCUUGUAAGAAUUUUACCAAAUAAGAUAGUGUUCUUUGUUCAACCAGCACAGGGAGCUCUGCAAAAUAAAAAAAAAAAUGAUGAAUUUUCA
rnacentral:lncRNA from 1 species